rnacentral:rRNA from 1 species
AGAGUUUGAUCAUGGCUCAGGACGAACGCUGGCGGCGUGCCUAAUACAUGCAAGUCGAGCGGACUUAAAAAGCUUGCUUUUUAAGUUAGCGGCGGACGGGUGAGUAACACGUGGGCAACCUGCCUGUAAGACUGGGAUAACUUCGGGAAACCGGAGCUAAUACCGGAUAAUCCUUUUCUACUCAUGUAGAAAAGCUGAAAGACGGUUUACGCUGUCACUCACAGAUGGGCCCGCGGCGCAUUAGCUAGUUGGUGAGGUAACGGCUCACCAAGGCGACGAUGCGUAGCCGACCUGAGAGGGUGAUCGGCCACACUGGGACUGAGACACGGCCCAGACUCCUACGGGAGGCAGCAGUAGGGAAUCUUCCGCAAUGGACGAAAGUCUGACGGAGCAACGCCGCGUGAGUGAUGAAGGUUUUCGGAUCAUAAAACUCUGUUGUAAGGCAAGAAACACUAUUAGAGUAACUGCUC